AGCGGCGGAUGGGUGAGUAACACGUGGGGAACCUGCCCCUAAGUCUGGGAUACCAUUUGGAAACAGGUGCUAAUACCGGAUAAUAAAGCAGAUCGCAUGAUCAGCUUUUGAAAGGCGGCGUAAGCUGUCGCUAAGGGAUGGCCCCGCGGUGCAUUAGCUAGUUGGUAAGGUAACGGCUUACCAAGGCGACGAUGCAUAGCCGAGUUGAGAGACUGAUCGGCCACAUUGGGACUGAGACACGGCCCAAAUCCUACGGGAGGCAGCAGUAGGGAAUCUUCCACAAUGGACGCAAGUCUGAUGGAGCAACGCCGCGUGAGUGAAGAAGGUUUUCGGAUCGUAAAGCUCUGUUGUUGGUGAAGAAGGAUAGAGGUAGUAACUGGCCUUUAUUUGACGGUAAUCAACCAGAAAGUCACGGCUAACUACGUGCCAGCAGCCGCGGUAAUACGUAGGUGGCAAGCGUUGUCCGGAUUUAUUGGGCGUAAAGCGAGCGCAGGCGGAAAAAUAAGUCUAAUGUGAAAGCCCUCGGCUUAACCGAGGAACUGCAUCGGAAACUGUUUUUCUUGAGUGCAGAAGAGGAGAGUGGAACUCCAUGUGUAGCGGUGGAAUGCGUAGAUAUAUGGAAGAACACCAGUGGCGAAGGCGGCUCUCUGGUCUGCAACUGACGCUGAGGCUCGAAAGCAUGGGUAGCGAACAGGAUUAGAUACCCUGGUAGUCCAUGCCGUGAACGAUGAGUGCUAAGUGU
rnacentral:rRNA from 1 species